CACCACUCGAGUCUGACUCGGUAUUGGGCGCCGCGAUUCAUCUCGCGCGCCUUGAAGUUGUCGGCUGGGUUCAUCAUCUCCGAGCGUCGUGGCUUUCAGUCUCGCUAGGGAGAGUGAUGGGCAUCUGCCGUUAAAUACCCCAUCAAA
rnacentral:misc_RNA from 1 species